rnacentral:rRNA from 1 species
GACGAACCGUGCUAACGUUGUUCGGAAUCACUGGGCUUAAAGGGCGCGUAGGCGGGCACGUAAGUCAGGGGUGAAAGCCCACGGCUCAACCGUGGAAGGGCCUUUGAUACUGCGUGUCUGGAGGGAGGUAGGGGCGUGCGGAACUUCCGGUGGAGCGGUGAAAUGCGUAGAUAUCGGAAGGAACACCGGUGGCGAAAGCGGCGCGCUGGACCUCUUCUGACGCUGAGGCGCGAAAGCCAGGGGAGCAAAGCGGG